rnacentral:rRNA from 1 species
GAAUAUUAAAAAUAUUACUUUAAUACACCGGAUCCCGUCAAAACUCUGCAGUGAAGCGCGCUUGGGCUAGAGUAGCACUGGGAUGGGUGACCUCCCGGGAAGUCCUAGUGUUGCACCCU